rnacentral:tRNA from 1 species
ACCUUUUUAGUAUAAAAAGUAUAUUUAACUUCCAAUUAAAAGGUUUAUUUAUUAAAAAAGGUA